rnacentral:lncRNA from 1 species
AUGGGGGCCGUAGAGACAAGAAGAGUAGGAAGGAGAAGAAGAGACGUAGAAGCCAUCAUAAGAGGGUUGUUGCCAUAAAUGAAGGGAUGGAAGGAAGUAUAUGUCUGAGAGUGACUCAGAUGGUAGUAAUAGAUCAUUGGAUGAUCACUGAAGUUCAUGAACUCGAUUGCUAGUAAACUAAUAGUUGAUGGUACAAAAAUGCACUUUGCACUAGAUAUUGUUAGACAAUCUAAGAGAACUGAUUGUAGAACACUGAAGUGAUGGGAGAAAAUACUAACUCAAGUAAAAGCAAUCAUUAGACUUGUUAAGAUUAAUCUAUAUUAUGGCACAAGGACGUAGUACAUUAUUUAUCUGAUAUUAAUAGAACUAAUUAGAAAAGGCAACUCUAUAGCCUAAAUAACUGAGUUUUUAAUAACUAUUUAAUCUAA